CCUACGGGUGGCAGCAGUGAGGAAUAUUGGUCAAUGGACGGAAGUCUGAACCAGCCAUGCCGCGUGCAGGAAGACUGCCCUAUGAGUUGUAAACUGCUUUUGUACAAGGGUAAACCUGAAUACGUGUAUUCAGCUGACAGUACUGUACGAAUAAGGAUCGGCUAACUCCGUGCCAGCAGCCGCGGUAAUACGGAGGAUCCAAGCGUUAUCCGGAUUUAUUGGGUUUAAAGGGUGCGUAGGCGGAUUUAUAAGUUAGGGGUGAAAUGUUCGAGCUUAAAUCGGGAACCGCCACUAAUACUGUUGAUCUAGAGAGUAGAUGAGGUAGGCGGAAUGUAUGAGGUAGCGGUGAAAUGCUUAGAGAUCAUACAGAACACCGAUUGCGAAGGCAGCUUACCAAUCUAUAUCUGACGUUGAGGCACGAAAGCGUGGGGAGCAAACAGGAUUAGAUACCCCUGUAGUC
rnacentral:rRNA from 1 species